GAUGAACGCUGGCGGCGUGCCUAAUACAUGCAAGUCGAGCGAACAGACGAGGAGCUUGCUCCUCUGACGUUAGCGGCGGAGGGGUGAGUAACACGUGGAUAACCUACCUAUAAGACUGGGAUAACUUCGGGAAACCGGAGCUAAUACCGGAUAAUAUAUUGAACCGCAUGGGUCAAUAGUGAAAGACGGUUUUGCUGUCACUUAUAGGUGGAUCCGCGCCGCAUUAGCUAGUUGGUAAGGUAACGGCUUACCAAGGCAACGAUGCGUAGCCGACCUGAGAGGGGGAUCGGCCACAUUGGAACGUAGCCACGGUCCCGACUCCUACGAUAGGCACCAGUAGGGAAUCUUCCGCAAUGGGCGAAAGCCUGACGGAGCAACGCCGCGCGAGUGAUGAAGGUCUUCGGAUCGUAAAACUCUGUUAUUAGUGAAGAACAAAUUUCUAAUUAACUAUGCACGUCUUGACGGUACCUAAUCAGAAAGCCACGGCUAACUACGUG
rnacentral:rRNA from 1 species